rnacentral:rRNA from 1 species
GCCAGCAGCCAUAUUAUCCUGCAUCUGUCAAUUAGCUACCCACUUAAGCUAAGUAGGCUUGAGCCUGAUCAGUACCAGGAUGUGAGCCCUCCUGGGAAGCUAUGGUUGCUGCUGGAA